CAUUGUUUUACUGGUAUUGAUCUUAGUCCCCAUCAUCGGAAUGAUUCUUCUGAGCCUAUGGACCUGUUUGGUUUUAUGGUUACUACGGGAGUCGCGUCAAGAAAUAUAUCACUUUCUAAGCCAAGCAUUUGAUGAAUUGAAGAGGCUAUUUUGGAAGUGCAUUCAAGCACUGAGAAGCUGUGGAAACCGCAUGAUGCAGUAUUUGAGUAAUUGAUGAGCAUCAAUCUGAGAAUUUUCCUGUUAAUUUUUUUAUGUUAUAUUACUUUGCAUCCCAUCUGCGCUAAAAUGCUAAUUUCUUUUCCACCGUUCUGAAUCUAGAACAGCUUGUGUUCUCUGUCAUGAAUGACAGUUUCAUGUUUCUGGAAAUUGAGAUUAGGAGUUACAUUUACAAUUUUACCCUUCAAUGAUGAUUGAACCAGUAAUGGCAUUUUUGACUUUUUCGGCUACAUUCCUUCUGUCCCUUUUGCUUAUUCGCUUUGACGAUUUUAGCCAAUUUUGCUUUUACUCUCUUAUUCCUGGGGCGUGGACAAAACAGCACCGUUCUUCCUGCUUUCUUGACAUUUCCGAUUAUGUAAUCCUGCAUCCCAACUUCUGACAGAUUGCAAUCUUCGAAAGAUGAGAUAAUCUCCAAAUCGAGACCAGUGUUUCUAUUGAGUUCUCGGAUCUCAGAUCAUUUGGUUGCCCAUCUCUUGCAUCUCUAAUCACUUGAUAGCCCAGUGUCUAUUUUUUUCAACCCUGGAGUGAACUUUGCAUGUGGAAUCUCAGUUCUUCAAUGGUGAAUAACUAUGUCAGAGUGAAUGCGCCGCUCUCGCGAUUCGGUGUGCUGAUGGCGAAGCUUGAGUCCAUAGACACUUCGGCCUCUCAACAAUCCCUUGAAUCUCUCCUUUGCUUGGAUCUCUUUUUCGAUCUCAUCACCCAAGGAUGAGCCCAUAAGCCUCUUCCAAAUCAUGGAAAUUCUGAAGUUGGUUAAAAGAGAAUUACUUGGAGAAUCUGUUAAACCAAUUUGAUCAAUUUUUUGACAAGAUCUUUUUGUUGAACAGAUAGAACUGCUCAAUUUUUUUGGGUACUAUUGCAGAAUCUUCUAUUGCUACAGCAUUAUCUGAAAAUAGUUUUCCAAGUAUCCUUAGGUGAUUGUUUGAGGUCAAUGAGUCGUCUCUAGCAACUCAUUAAAGGUAAUCGUGCAAAUCUAUGUUAUAUUGCAUUAUUUUUCGCUCACAAUUGUCUCUUCUUUUGAUGCUUUAUACUCUUUGCAUUAGUUGCCAAGAGUCUACCUAAGGUCAUUUAUGUGGAGCACUGUGAAAUUAAAUUCGCAAAUGAUUAGUCAGUUGAGAAUUUCUGCAAGCGUAAAUGAGUAACACAAUUAUCAGUCAAUGCUAUUUUGGAAAAAUUAUGAGUAUUGAGAAAGGUCUAAAAAAUGGCUGCAGAAUAAUUAGUCAUGCAAGGAUGAUCUUUACUAAUAAAGUAUACUUUUUUUUCAUUUCAUGUGCUAUUUUUUUUUUCUUACUUUUGCUCCAGAAGGGAUUACAAAUAUCAACACCUUUUAGAGGUAAUUUUAUGAUCUAGAAAACUCAUAUGAUUUUUAUUGUUUUUAUAUUUCCUGGCUUUUUGUUGGCCACUUACUGCAGUACUUUUUAUAUAGAGCAACUUCAGUCUCUUUCUUGUGGUAUUAAACAAAAUCAAGGACAUCAACAGGAUUUUGGAUAGAAAAAAAAAACUUAGGUAAUGUUAUAAAAAAAUAUUACCACAUGCAGGAGAUAGAAAGUUAACUAUUCUUUAUGAAUUUAUGCAUUCCCUAUGAAAAUUGGAAGGUACUAAAAACAAUAACACAUUUUAAGUGGACGAGUCAAUAAAGCAAAGAAAGUUAGGACAGGUUUAGAAAAAAAAAUGAGGAUUCUCAUCCCGGUGCCUGCAACUCCUCAUAAAAAUCCAUGCUUUCAAUAGUAAGAAAAUUGGCCUUUUUUUCCUGGCUUUUAUGUUGUUGAGUUAAUUGAGUAAAUUGCAUUGGUGGGGUUUUCUUCUAUUUCAUUACAUUCGAAAUCUAAGUAAUAAAAUUUCAGAGUGCUGUCAGGUAAAUGCCGGAUUAAGCCUUCUUUGGAAGUUAUGGCUUUUCUUGAAUGAUGUCGCUUAAAUUGCUAAUUGAUAUAAUUUAUUUUUAUCUUUUCUUCUUCUAUAGGAAGUUCCAACAAACAAUCCUGUUUGUUCUAUGUUAGGUGCAUCCUUUUGGUUCUCAACAAUAGAGGGAACUGGCUUUGAGGCUUCUGAAUUUGCUUUUUGUUGCUGGAUGAGUUAAUUGCAUUGAUGGGUUUUCUUCUAUUUCAUUCUUUGGAAGUUAUUACUUCUGUUGAUUGAUGUCAUUGAUUUAUUUUAUUUUAUGGAUUUGGCAUGUUGGGCUUACUUCCAUCUGAUGGAUUUAAAGUUUUCAUUGAGGCUUUGUGGGAACCCCUCUUUAAGUUAUUCUUCUCCUCAAUGAUGACUGGGUAUGGUCAUUCUGUAAUUCUUAUACAUGCUUUAUUCUGUGUUCACUUGUCAAAGUUGGAAUGGAUUGACAACAUAAUAACAACCAUUUUUGUGCCAUCUAUUACCUUUGGGAUUUAACUCACAGAAAUGGGACUUCUUGCAGUUUGAAUAGGCCUUAUUUCCAGAUCUUAUCAAUCUAAAAGCAGGGUGUUAAUUAUGCUUUAAUUGCUUGAAGUACUAGAUAAAAUUUCCAGUUUCCUGUCUUCAACAAUAUGUUAACUGUUAUUCUCUUAUACAGUAUUGGUUGUUUAUGAAUCUUGUAUCUGGUUGAAUUGGUAAAUUGAAUAUAGAUAUUGUAGGGGUUUCUUUUAUCAAAUAUAAUUAUCAGAUGGAUUUUGGUUUUCUUAGUUUAGUUUGUUAGAACUGAAAAUGUUUUUCUUAUCUAAACCUCUUAGUGACUGAGGGUUCUCAUUGAUUUAUUGAUUUUCAGAUCUUGCCGAGUUAGAUUAUUAUUUAUUUGUGGGAAAUUUAUUUUUCAGUCCCUAAUUUUGCCAUCGUUAACACUUAUGUCCCUCGUUUUUCUGAAAUUGCUGAUUUACUACCUAACUUUUCAUUCCAUUGAAUACUUUAGUCCUUCUGCUAAUAUUUUUUAAGCAUAUUCCAUCAAUCAAACAAGUCAGAUAAGAGUUUUUUUUUUAAUUCCUAUAGUACCACUAUCCCUAUCUCCUUUGUUUCUCCUCUCUCCCCCUCUCUUGCAUCUCUCUCUCUCUCUCUCUCUCUCUCUCUCUCUCUCUAUAUAUAUAUAUAUAUGUUCCUAAACUCCAAAAAUCGACAAAUCCCCCAAUUCUGAAGAGCAAACUGAGGCUGAAAUGGGAUUUUUUCCCCAUGGAGUAGAACCUAUGGAAGACAUUCCUAUUUCCAGAUUCAAGACUAAAUAAGAGAGGCUAGAUACAGUAUGGUUAAGCAAAGAGAACAUCAAACUGAACUUAUUUUUAUUACUGUGCCCAGUGAGAGUGAUCCAGUAGCAUUUGAACAAUUUGAUUCUCCUGCCAAGACUAUUCCUAUUUUCUCUUUCCCUCCCGUUUCACCGCAUGUGAUCCCUGGUUGUACAGUUCCCAUGUAAAGAACACUCAAGUCGGGCAUUACCAACUCGUCUUUGAAUGUUUGAGAAUUGACUCUGACGAGUGUCUGAGUCUUGCUUGGGUGCUUCACCUUGUGGCGGUUUAAAAAGAAUGCUAGACUUGAAAGCAUUCCCAGAGUGACAAUCCCAACUGAGAUUACAAUUGCCACUUUCUUAGACAGUUUCACUGGUUGUGUUGCUAUUGGGAUUGGAAUGUGGAUGGUGAUGGUGAUGGUGAUGGUGAUGGUGAUGGUGAUGGCCGCUGGCUUUGAUCUGGGGUUGGCCCAAUUAGGACCUUGGGGAAGAAGGGUUGUUCUAGGGUGGAAAAGACCUGGCUGUCAAGCAGAGGCAGUGGUGAUGAUGAGUCUAUGCUUGGCAGUGGGGCUGAGCUGUUUGGAAAUAAAGGCUGGUGGAGGAUUCUUCUGUGAGUUUUGGGACCAGUAGUAGAGUGUAGAAUUUCAUUUGCAACAUUAGGCUGAGGAGAUGAUGGUAUUGGUAGAGGAGAAUUAUUUGUUGGAUGGAUGAGGCGGUGGUAGAUGGACAGACUCAUUAGCUUUUGGUAGAGGAGAUAAAAUAAAAGGGUAUUUUGGUCUUUCCAUGUUAAAUAACGGCAAAUUGAUUUUAAAAUGGAUUGAGGGACCUAUUUGUUGACAUAAUCAUUAUCUAGGAACUACAUAAGCUAUUUCUGAAAAAACGGUGACAUAAGUGUUAAUUAUGGCAUAACUCAGAGACUUUGUGGUAGGGGAGGGCAGGCUCUAGCAUUAUAAAAUGGACAAAUUACUUGUGUUUAUAUGUAAUAUAUUUAUAAUAUGCUGCCUAUUCAAAGUCAUGCAAUUUUUUUAAUAAUAAAUACCAGUUUAACACUGUAUAACUUUGAAGAACUUAGAUUAGAAAGAAGACAACGUAAAAUUUGUUUUAGUUUUUGCUAUCUAUUUUUGUAAGGAACUACUAGAGGUUUAUUCAUUUUUAGAUGGCUAUAUAAAUAAACCUUCCAUUUUUCAAAGAUUAUGCACAUAAUAUAUCAUAUGAGAAUUGUGCAUCUAAUGAGAUGUAAAAACAAUUAAUAAGGGAAUUAUACGUGAGAUUUAUUUUUUACUGGGGAAAAGAAACAAGAGGAGGGGGAUUACUCUUUACCUCCUGCAUCUUAAAGGGACCACCUAAGGAGUUUGGUGUUCUAAGGUGGUGCCAUUUCUGAUGCUUUGCUUGUUUAAAUAUUUUUCCUCACUUUUACUUUGGAAUGUGAAUAUUCCCAUAAUCCUAUUUUUCAAUUAUUUUAUUAAAUAUUUUUUUACUGCUUUAUCAUUUUGUUCUUCUCAAUAGGCCAUUUAUUAUGGUUAGCAUGCAUUUUCACAAUUAUUAAGUUGUUUUGUUAAAGCAACUGCAUGAAGUCGAGAGGAAAAGUGCUGCUCUUUAAAUGCAGCAGUUUGUUGGUGAAGAAAAGAAUCAUUUACUGGACUACUUAAUAUCGCUACAACUGGAAAAGGGACAAGAUAUGGCUUUUGGUUUAACUGUUGGCCUUGCAUGGUGCAAUCUAUCAGGUAGCUGAGGUGUCAGAACCUACAUCUAACCUAUUCUGUAGUCCAUGGUCUCCUUGCAACUCUUUCACCUAAGAUGCAUUCCAAGGUUCCACCUCAAUCAGAGAAUUCAUCGACUGGAAUAUGGAAUAUUAGGAGUAAAGAUUGUGCAGAACUUGUAGAAAACACUUCACUUGAGUUCCAGCCCUUCAUUUCCUUGACAAGGGACUAUCUAGCGCGUCUACUCUUCUGGUUAGGUCACACCCUUUCUCCAUUUUGUCAUAGUGCUUUUGCACCACCUAUCUCCCUUUUUCUUCUUCUUCUUUUCCUUUUUUACUUUUCCUAAUUGGAAACUUCAGCUGAGCUGGAAACUGAUGAUGGUUACAAUUUUGGUUAGCUGCAUAUUUCUUGGCUUUUUUGGUCAGAAAUUUAAAAUUAUCGAAAUCUCCAUAGCUUGCUUGGAAUUGAACAGGGAUACAUAUUUCUUUAUGCAUUUACUCUAAGCCAUUAGAGCAUCUUGUUUUCUUCAUGAUUUAUUCUACUGCAUUCAACUUUGCUUUAAAAUGCAUCUGUUACGCAUUAUAGUAGGAGGAAGAAUAAGUAGUUGAUUGUAGUGGAUAAGGUUGGAGGGAAAUAUUGUUAGGCAGUCAGUUACACAACUGAAUCAGUUAGCAGCUGAUAAGAUACUCUGUUAUAAAUGAGGGAUAUUGCUUGUAUCAACGCAUUCAAUUGUGAAAUCAGUAACAAGAUACUCUUCUUCUCUCAAGAUUUUAUUCUUUUCUCACCUAAGUCUCUCUCUCUCAUCUCAUUCUUCUUCUUCCGAGUAUUCUGUUCAAUGUCUAUGUUCAGGAACUGAUCUUGGACUGAUAUCUAACGUUUUGGUAUCUAACAA